rnacentral:rRNA from 1 species
CCUAACACAUGCAAGUCGAACGGUAACAGGAAGAAGCUUGCUUCUUUGCUGACGAGUGGCGGACGGGUGAGUAAUGUCUGGGAAACUGCCUGAUGGAGGGGGAUAACUACUGGAAACGGUAGCUAAUACCGCAUAACGUCGCAAAACCAAAGAGGGGGACCUUCGGGCCUCUUGCCAUCGGAUGUGCCCAGAUGGGAUUAGCUAGUAGGUGGGGUAACGGCUCACCUAGGCGACGAUCCCUAGCUGGUCUGAGAGGAUGACCAGCCACACUGGAACUGAGACACGGUCCAGACUCCUACGGGAGGCAGCAGUGGGGAAUAUUGCACAAUGGGCGCAAGCCUGAUGCAGCCAUGCCGCGUGUAUGAAGAAGGCCUUCGGGUUGUAAAGUA